rnacentral:rRNA from 1 species
UACGAAGGGUGCAAGCGUUAAUCGGAAUUACUGGGCGUAAAGCGCGCGUAGGUGGUUCAGUAAGUUGGAAGUGAAUCCCCGGGCUCAACCUGGGAACUGCUUUCAAAACUGCUGAGCUAGAGUACGGUAGAGGGUGGUGGAAUUUCCUGUGUAGCGGUGAAAUGCGUAGAUAUAGGAAGGAACACCAGUGGCGAAGGCGACCACCUGGACUGAUACUGACACUGAGGUGCGAAAGCGUGGGGAGCAAACAGG